UGGGGAAUUUUGGACAAUGGGGGAAACCCUGAUCCAGCCAUCCCGCGUGUGCGAUGAAGGCCUUCGGGUUGUAAAGCACUUUUGGCAGGAAAGAAGCGUCGCGGGUUAAUACCCCGCGAAACUGACGGUACCUGCAGAAUAAGCACCGGCUAACUACGUGCCAGCAGCCGCGGUAAUACGUAGGGUGCAAGCGUUAAUCGGAAUUACUGGGCGUAAAGCGUGCGUAGGCGGUUCGGAAAGAAAGAUGUGAAAUCCCAGAGCUUAACUUUGGAACUGCAUUUUUUAACUACCGGGCUAGAGUGUGUCAGAGGGAGGUGGAAUUCCGCGUGUAGCAGUGAAAUGCGUAGAUAUGCGGAGGAACACCGAUGGCGAAGGCAGCCUCCUGGGAUAACACUGACGCUCAUGCACGAAAGCGUGGGGAGCAAACAGGAUUAGAUACCCUGGUAGUCCACGCCCUAAACGAUGUCAACUAGCUGUUGGGGCCUUCGGGCCUUGGUAGCGCAGCUAACGCGUGAAGUUGACCGCCUGGGGGAGUACGGUCGCAAGAUUAAAACUCAAAUGAAUUGAC
rnacentral:rRNA from 1 species